UCAGAAAUACAACUAAAUAUUAUCAAAUGUAAAAUGCCACUGCUUGUGUCAUUGUUUUAUUUACCAUCACAAAAGGAAAUACACAACUUUGAUCAUUGUAGCUGUAAGACUCCACCAGUUGGAAGAGACAUGGGAAUUUAAGAGAUUUUUACACUAGUGUGUGUGUGUGUGUGUGGGGGGGGGGGAUGUGCCUUUAAAACCAGUGAAAUAUAAUAACAGACUUGCCCGACCUCACACAGAGUUGGUGGCAGAAGGAGAAUUUUAGUGCAAGGGAUGCCAGUGACUCCCAAGGUUUUGCUCCAAGUCAGUGUUUAUUCACUGUUAUGAGCCACUCUCCACCCUCAGCGGAUCUCUGAGCAGCUCUGCCCUGGGGCAGGCUUUCCAGUCCUCCAUCUUGUAUUAGAGUUCGCCUGAAGAUGCUCCAGCUCUGAGUUCCUUGAACAUGGACAGACAGACGGACACAUAGGAGUUUGGCUCACCAGCACCAGUGACUUGGCAUUUCAGAGGUUUAUAUAUGGUGACUGCUAAAAGUAUAACACAGAGUGAUUCAAUGAGGAAUCAUCAGGAAGACCAGCCCCAGUGUGGACUUGACCACCAGCUCCACAUCGGUCCCAUGACGCCUGAAACAUUAUGUUCAGAAGAACACCAUCCUCUCAACAGAGAUACCCGCUGCUGA
rnacentral:lncRNA from 1 species